rnacentral:rRNA from 1 species
UACCCGCUGGAAUUAAGCAUAUUAAUAAGCGGAGGAAAAGAAACUAACAAGGAUUCCCUCAGUAAGGGCGACUGAAGCGGGAAGAGCUCAUGAUGUGAAUCGGUGUUUCGGCACUGAAUUGUGGUCUAUAGAUUCUUGCAUUAAUGGCCGGGUUAAGUCUCUUGGAAUAGAGCGGCAUAGAGGGUGAGACCCCCGUGAACCUGGACUUUAGAGUGAGUAUCAACGAGUCGAGUUGUUUGGGAUUGCAGCUCAAAGUGGGAGGUAAAUUCCUUCUAAAGCUAAAUAUGGGCGAGACACCGAUAGUGUACAAGUACCGUGAGGGAAAGAUGCAAAGAACUUUGAAAAGAGAGUUAAAGAGUACCUGAAAUUGCUGAAAGGGAAGCGAAGGAAAUCAGUGAAGGCUUAGUUGCAUUUUCUUGUUUGCUUGCAGGCGAGACGCUGUGACGAGCCGUGCAACGCUUGAUUGGGAUGGAUUAAUUACCCCAGUGGGAGUUGACCUCUGAGGGAACAAUUUGACCUGAUUGAGUUGGUGCAAAAUGGUUUUCUUCUCCCCGUCUUGAAACACGG